rnacentral:rRNA from 1 species
AAAAGUGAAAAAGGGCACAUGGGGGAUGCCUAGGCUCUGGAAGGCGAAGAAGGACGUGAUAAGCUGCGAAAAGCCGCGGGGAUUGGCAAAUACGAAUCGAUCCGCGGAUAUCCGAAUGGGGCAACCCGGCACGUGAAGAACGUGCCAUUCCGUUGCAUAACGGAAGGCGAACGUGGGGAACUGAAACAUCUAAGUACCCAUAGGAGGAGAAAACAAAAGUGAUUCCCGGAGUAGUGGCGAGCGAAACGGGAGCAGCCCAAACCAUGUCUGUUUCGGCAUACAUGGGGUUGUAGGACUGAGGCAUGGCAAGGAAUCAGGAAAGUGGAAGCAUCUGGAAAGUUGCAUCAUAGAGGGUGAAAAUCCCGUACACGUAUUUUUGAUGAAGCCUAUCAGUAUCCUGAGUAACGCGGGACACGAGGAAUCUUGCGUGAAACCGGCGGGACCAUCCGCCAAGGCUAAAUACUCUCCAGAGACCGAUAGUGAACCAGUACCGUGAGGGAAAGGUGAAAAGAACCUCGAACAGAGGAGUGAAAUAGACCCUGAAACCAUGUGCCUGCAAGCGGUCGGAGCCCUGUUUACAGGGUGACGGCGUGCCUUUUGCAUAAUGAACCUACGAGUUACUCUUGCCUGGCAAGGUUAAGCGCAAAGAUGCGCCGAGCCGCAGCGAAAGCGAGUCUUCACAGGGCGCACAGUCAGCAGGAGUAGACGCGAAACCAAGUGAUCUACCCUUGGGCAGGUUGAAGUAUUGGUAACACAAUAUGGAGGACCGCACCGGUAAACGUUGAAAAGUUUUCGGAUGACCUGAGGGUAGGGGUGAAAGGCUAAUCAAACUUGGAGAUAGCUCGUACUCCCCGAAAUGCAUUUAGGUGCAGCCUCGGACUUACGAACUUGCAUGAGGUAGAGCUACUGAUUGGAUGCGAGGGCUUCGCCGCCUAUCAAGUCCAGCCAAACUCCGAAUGCGUGCAAGUGAUAUCCGGGAGUGAGGGCGCGGGUGCUAAGGUCCGCGUCCGAGAGAGGAACAACUCAGACCAUCAGCUAAGGUCCCGAAAUAUAUGCUCAGUUGCAAUUAACGAAGUUUUGCCGCAGCGACAGCUAGGAUGUUGGCUUGGAAGCAGCCAUUCAUUUAAAGAGUGCGUAACAGCUCACUAGUCGAGCGAUCGGGCAUGGAUGAUAAUCGGGCAUAAAGUAUACUACCGAAGCUAUGGAUUUCUAAUAAAUUAGAACUGGUAGGGGAGCAUUCCAGUCCGCGUAGAAGGUGCAGAUGUAAGUCGUGCUGGAGCGUCUGGAAAAGCAAAUGUAGGCAUAAGUAACGAUAAUGAGGGUGGGAAACCCUCACACCGAAAGACCAAGGUUUCCUGAUCAACGCUAAUCGGAUCAGGGUUAGUCGGGACCUAAGGCGAAGCCGAAGGGCGUAGUCGAUGGACAACAUGUUAAUAUUCAUGUACUAGCAAUAACUGCGAUGGGGUGACGGAGAAGUGAAAGGCUUGCGCACUGACGGAAUAGUGCGUUAAAGGGUGUAGAUAUAUAUUUUACAGGUAAAUCCGUAGAGUAUGUCGAACCUGAUAGUACCGUGCGUCUUCGGACAAACGGAUAAUAGCCCUAAUCAUGCUUCCAGGAAAACCCUCUAAGCUUCAGGUUAUUGGUACCCGUACCGGAAACCGACACAGGUGGUCGAGGAGAGUAUCCAAAGGUGCUCGAGUGAAUCAUAGCUAAGGAACUAGGCAAAUUAGUCCUGUAACUUCGGGAAAAAGGACGCCUCCAGCGAUGGAGGCCGCAGAGAAAUGGCCCAGGCGACUGUUUAUCAAAAACACAUGGCUUUGCUAAAUCGAAAGAUGAUGUAUAAGGCCUGACACCUGCCCGGUGCUGGAAGGUUAAGAGGAGAUGUUAUCUUCGGAGAAGCAUUGAAUUGAAGCCCCAGUAAACGGCGGCCGUAACUAUAACGGUCCUAAGGUAGCGAAAUUCCUUGUCGGGUAAGUUCCGACCUGCACGAAUGGUGUAACGAUCUUCUCACUGUCUCGACCGUGAGCUCGGUGAAAUUGUAGUAUCGGUGAAGAUGCCGAUUACCCGCGAUGGGACGAAAAGACCCCGUGAACCUUUACUAUAGCUUUACAUUGAUGUUGGGCAUCCGAUGUGUAGGAUAGGCCGGAGGCUAUGAAGCAGGUACGCCAGUAUUUGUGGAGCCGACGUUGAAAUACGGCCCUUCGGGUGUUUGACCUCUAACUCCGCGUUGCGGAGGACACUGUAUGGUGGGUAGUUUGACUGGGGUGGUCGCCUCCAAAAAAGUAACGGAGGCUUCUAAAGGUGCGCUCGAGACGAUUGGUAACCGUCUUUUGUGAGUGUAAUGGCAUAAGCGCGCUUGACUGGGAGACCCACAAGUCGAUCAGGUAGGAAACUAGAGCAUAGUGAUCCGGUGGUUUCAGCAUGGAAUGGCCAUCGCUCAAAGGAUAAAAGGUACUCCGGGGAUAACAGGCUGAUCAUUCCCAAGAGCUCAUAUCGACGGAAUGGUUUGGCACCUCGAUGUCGGCUCGUCACAUCCUGGGGCUGGAGAAGGUCCCAA